rnacentral:ncRNA from 1 species
GGACGAGCCUCUGGAGAGACUCAUAUUUAUAUGAGCACCGAAGGAGCAAAGUAAAUUUUAUUUACUGAAACUCUCAGGUAAAAGGACAGGGGAUAGGAU